AUCUCGUCUUGGCUCUCUCCCUCGAUGGCCUCCUCACCAACACAGGCUUGAUGAAGGCGUCAGAGCUCAGAGGUUGCCUCUUAUGGCUUGCGGGAGUUAAUGGAAGUGCCAUUGAAACAAUAUAAGUAGAUCCCAUUUCUCUCUCUCUCUUA